CCUGGUUGAUCGUGCCAGUAGUCAUAUGCUUGUCUCAAAGAUUAAGCCAUGCAUGUGUAAGUAUGAGCAAUUCAGAUUGUGAAACUGUGUAUGGCUCAUUAAAUCAGUUAUAGUUUGUUUGAUUGUAACUACUACUUUCGGAUAACUGUAGUGAUUCUAGAGCUAAUCGUCCCCGACUUCUGGAAGGGAUGCAUUUAUUAGAUAAGAGGUUCGAGGUGGGCUCUGCCGUUGCUCUGAUGAUUCAUGAUAACUUCGGCGGAUCGCAUGGCCUUAGUGCUGGCGGCGCAUCAUUCAAAUUUCUGCCCUAUCAACUUUCGAUGGUAGGAUAGUGGCCUACCACGGUGGAAACGGGUGACAGAGAAUUAGGGUUUGAUUCCGGAGAGGGAGCCUGAGAAACAGCUACCACAUCCAAGGAAGGCAGCAGGCGCACAAAUUAGCCAAUCCUGACAUGGGGAGGUAGUGACAAUAAAAAACAAUACCGGGCUCUUUGAGUCUGGUAAUUGGAAUGAGUACAAUCUAAAUCCCUUAACGAGGAUCCAUUGGAGGGCAAGUAUGGUGCCAGAAGCUGCGGUAAUUCCAGCUCCAAUAGCGUAUAUUUAAGUUGUUGCAGUUAAAAAGCUCGUAGUUGAACCUUGGGAUGGGUCGCCCGUUCCACCUUCGGUGAGCACCGGUUGUAAGACCCGAUCCCGGCCGCCCUAGGCGCGGUCGAUGCCUCCGUCACUUUCGGUCCACUUCCUGGCGAACCUCUUAAUUUCUGCCCUUUAUUUAUAAUAUAAGCCUAAAGGCGAGGGCUAACAUAGACCUUAGCUAAAGACUUACCUAGUCAUUAAUAGCCUAGAUCCUUUCAACAGAUCAUGGCGGAAUAUUCUCUAGUUAACCAUUGGUCAAAACCAAUCUAACACUUGUCUGGUCGAAUCACCUUAGCCUUGGUCAGUUUACUCAACUACCAAUUAGCUUAAAGGUCAAUCCUAAACCCAAACCAAGCCAUACGAUUCUGAGGUUCCAUUCCCUAAACCAUUCUAUCUAGAUCUACAUAAGUAAAUGCUAGAUCAUACCUUUGCCACAUCUAUGGAGCUUAUUAGCUCAUCGGUCCUCCAUUGACUCGAAUUGCUCUUGCUUAACAGCUGGACCAUGAUCACUCA
rnacentral:rRNA from 1 species